rnacentral:rRNA from 1 species
CUACGGGCGGCAGCAGUCGCGAAUUUUUUGCAAUGCACGAAAGUGUGACAAAGCGAGCCGAAGUGCUUUUCUUAGAAAAGCUUUUUCUUGCUUUAAAAAGGCAGGAGAAUAAGGACUGGGAAAGACUGGUGCCAGCCGCCGCGGUAAUACCAGCAGUCCAAGUUGUAUCCAUUAUUAUUGGGUCUAAAACAUCCGUAGCUUGCCUAAAAAGUUUUUUGUGAAAUCUUAUGUCUCAAGCAUAAGGCGGGCAAAAAAUACUAUUAGGCUAGAGACCGGGAGGUGUAAGGAGUACACUCAAGGUAGUGGUUAAAUAUGUUAAUCUUGAGCGGACUAACAAUUAGCGAAGGCACCUUACAAGAACGGAUCUGACAGUGAGGGAUGAAGGCCAGGGGCGCAAAACGGAUUAGAUACCCUGGUAGUC